UGAUAUUCUUUACUGGGCUAGUUGUGCUCACCCUUUUGCUUCACAAUUCCUUUCAGGUAAUAAGAGUGUAGCUGGGUCGAGCGGGGAUAACAGGGAAAUAGUGAGAUGGUUCGAGACUGUCGAAGUUUCUCAAAACAUUAUAAAACGGCAUGACAUACAAUAUAUAAUUGUAUUGAGGACCUAAGAUGUGGGUGUCGUAUUUUAUACGUCACAUAAUAUUUAAUUUUGGUGAACUAUAAUAGGGUGAAGUGAACCCGACUUUGGAAGCGUUAUUUUCUGCUGUAUUAUAUAUGACAUUGUAAUAAUUUGAAUUUGGAUACUGUCUAUGAGACUAUAUUGUAUUAAAACUCAC
rnacentral:lncRNA from 1 species